rnacentral:rRNA from 1 species
GACAGAGGAUGCAAGCGUUUAUCCGGAAUGAUUGGGCGUAAAGCGUCUGUAGGUGGCUUUUUAAGUCCGCCGUCAAAUCCCAGGGCUCAACCCUGGACAGGCGGUGGAAACUACCAAGCUGGAGUACGGUAGGGGCAGAGGGAAUUUCCGGUGGAGCGGUGAAAUGCGUAGAUAUCAGGAGGAACACCGGUGGCGAAGGCGGGUCUCUGGGCCGGUACCGACGCUGAGGAGCGAAAGCGUGGGGAGCGAACAGG